rnacentral:rRNA from 1 species
AUUGAACGCUAGCGGGAUGCCUUACACAUGCAAGUCGAACGGCAGCAUAAGAGAGCUUGCUCUCUUGAUGGCGAGUGGCGAACGGGUGAGUAAUGUAUCGGAACGUGCCCAGUAGCGGGGGAUAACUACGCGAAAGCGUAGCUAAUACCGCAUACGCCCUACGGGGAAAGGAGGGGAGUCUGCAAGGACCUUUCUACUAUUGGAGCGGCCGACUAUCGGAUUAGCUAGUUGGUGAGGUAACGGCUCACCAAGGCGACGAUCCGUAGCUGGUUUGAGAGGACGACCAGCCACACUGGGACUGAGACACGGCCCAG